UACAGAGGAUGCAAGCGUUAUCCGGAAUGAUUGGGCGUAAAGCGUCUGUAGGUGGCUUUUUAAGUCCGCCGUCAAAUCCCAGGGCUCAACCCUGGAAUGCCGGUGGAAACUGUCAAGCUUGAGUCCGGAAGAGGCGAGUGGAAUUCCUGGUGUAGCGGUGAAAUGCGCAGAUAUCAGGAGGAACACCAAUGGCGAAGGCAGCUCGCUGGGACGGUACUGACGCUGAGACGCGAAAGCGUGGGGAGCAAACAGG
rnacentral:rRNA from 1 species